CCCGCUCCUGGUCCUCAAGACCGUCCCUCUGAUUGGUGUCAUCUGGAGCCGAGCGCCAGGGAUAAUGUUACGUUUACUCCCGCUCUCUCUGGCGCUCAACGUCGCCAGUUGUCUCAUUACGCACACCUGCCACCAUUGUUACGCACCUGCGCCUCAUGACCCAUGGAUUCCAUCACCUCUUGAUUAUCUCCCCUUAUCUGUCACUCUACCAUGGUUCUUUCCUAUAUAGGCGUUAUUGACUCUGUUUCUGUUUCCUGUUCUAUUUAUUAUUAAAUUUGCACUCCCUGUACUUUCUUCCCGACUCCCAGCGUACACGUUACAAAACUGUAACAAUGUGCUCAUGAGGUAUUUUGUGCUGUGUUGUGAUAUUGCAUCAUCCAAAUGUCAAAAUGUAAAUUAAUUUGAAUUCUUUCCACUUCAUAUAGAUUUUUUACUUUCUUGAGAUUGUACAAAUUUCGGCAUAUCAGUGUGAACACUCUUUAAGUGUUUUCUAGGAGAGGGUCGUGGCUUCGUGUCAAUAGUUCCGGCAAAACACUUGCAAUAAAGAACCUUUCAGCCUUAGGUAGGGCUUUUUGUAGCAUUUCUUCAUCUCUGAUUAUGCGACGCACAAUGACCUCAGCACUUGUCCAAACCACAAAGUCACAGUAUUGGACAUUGCAAACAAACAUGUGAAGUUGAACUUGGUGGUAAUAUUCAUGAUUCUUCUUCAGGUGCAGUGAUUUGUCCAAGCAGAACUGUGUGUCAUCACUGCACCCUGUAAGGCCAUCACGGUAUUUGUAUGGGCACUUAAUUUCAAGGGUUCCUCUCCCACAACAGGAACAGUUCACUAAUCCAUCUGGAGACGCCCCGAGAUGUGGUUGAUCGUUCCGCACGACAAGACCCGAGAGCUUCACACUGAAGUUGGCAUGGAUUUUGCUCAUUUCUUCCGUGUAGUACUUUCUGGCUGUGUCCUCCAUGUCUCUUCCCCAAAGUACAGCUGGGACAUGAUGCAACUCACUGUCAUUGUAAUGCAUUGUCUUUUUCACCAAGUUGAUUUUGUCUGUGUUUCUGCCUGCCGUGCACACACGAUGGAAGGCGGUGCUUGUUAUCCGUCCAAUUCGGUUGGUGUGCCAGGCCUGGCAUUUGGACUGCUCCUUGGAGGUGGUGAGAGGUCCCUUAGAUUGGCAUCAUACAGAGCUGUGAGUAGCUCUGGCAGGUCUUCUGUGUUGGUGUUUGAAUCUCCUGAUGCAGUAUCUACAUCACUGUGGUCCUUCACGAUCCUGGCCAUGAAGCCUGCUACAUAUAGACCGAGUGGUUGCUACGAGACAACUUCUUCACUGAACGUAGCUACUGCCAUCAACACGUGCACAUCCACAUAUUGUGCCAGUAUUUGUACACAAAGGAAGAGGUCUAUAGCGACCUGGAUUCUUCUACAAAGACCUACACUAUUCAACCGGUACAUCACCUCUACAAAAGCUUUUCAGGACCAAAAGCUGUUGGGUAGUUCCACAAAAUGAGUCCCUUUUGGGUAGUGUAACAGUUUUAUUUCACCUAACAUGACGAGCACAUGUUCAACUUAAUUAAAUAAACAUGAUGUUUUCCCAUCUCAAGAGGGAUAAUAAAAGAUGACUAUAGUACGUGCCUAUUAAAGGCCCAGUGCAGUCAAAAACAUGA